UACGUAGGGCGCAAGCGUUGUCCGGAAUUAUUGGGCGUAAAGAGCUCGUAGGUGGUUUGUUACGUCUGCUGUGAAAACCUAGGGCUUAACCCUGGGCCUGCAGUGGAUACGGGCAGACUAGAGGUAGGUAGGGGAGAAUGGAAUUCCCGGUGUAGCGGUGAAAUGCGCCAGAUAUCGGGAGGAACACCGGUGGCGAAGGCGGUUCUCUGGGCCUUACCUGACACUGAGGAGCGAAAGCGUGGGGAGCGAACAGG
rnacentral:rRNA from 1 species